rnacentral:misc_RNA from 1 species
CAAUCCUCAAGCCUAGCUUGGUGUUGGGCCCGGCCCUGAGCGGCUGGCCCUAAAGUCAGUGGCGGUGCCGUCUGGCUCUGAGCGUAGUACACCUCUCGCUCCAGGGUCCCGCGGUGGCUUGCCAGAACCCCAACUCCUCU